rnacentral:rRNA from 1 species
UACGGAGGGUGCAAGCGUUGUCCGGAUUUAUUGGGUUUAAAGGGUGCGCAGGUGGGUAUUUAAGUCUGGUUUGAAAGCAGGUGGCUCAACCAUCUGAUGUGGCUGGAAACUGGAUAUCUUGAAUGGGUUGGCGGUAGCCGGAAUGGGUCAUGGUAGCGGUGAAAUGCAUAGAUAUGACUCGGAACACCGAUUGCGAAGGCAGGCUACUACGACUUGAUUGACACUGAGGCACGAGAGCAUGGGUAGCGAACAGG